rnacentral:piRNA from 1 species
UAGAAGUAGGUAGCACAAUGGUGGGU